AGGGUUUGAUCAUGGCUCAGAACGUACGCUGGCGGCACGCCUUAUACAUGCAAGUCGAACGAAGUAGCAAUACUUAGUGGCAGACGGGUGAGUAACAUGUGGGUAUCUUCCCUUUGGUGAGGAAUAACACGAGGAAACUUGUGCUAAUACCUCAUAAGUCUUUACGGAGAAAGCUUUAUGCGCCAAUGGAUGAGCCCGCACUUGAUUAGUUUGUUGGUGGGGUAAUGGCCUACCAAGACGGUGAUCAAUAGCUGAUCUGAGAGGAUGAUCAGCCACAUUGGAACUGAGACACGGUCCAAACUCCUACGGGAGGCAGCAGUAGGGAAUCUUGCACAAUGGAGGAAACUCUGAUGCAGCGAUGCCGCGUGAGUGAAGAAGGCCUUUGGGUUGUAAAGCUCUUUCGUCGGGGAAGAAAAUGACUGUACCCGAAUAAGAAGGUCCGGCUAACUUCGUGCCAGCAGCCGCGGUAAUACGAAGGGACCUAGCGUAGUUCGGAAUUACUGGGCUUAAAGAGUUCGUAGGUUGUUAAAAAAGUUGGUGGUGAAAUCCCAGAGCUUAACUCUGGAACUGCCAUCAAAACUUUUUAGCUAGAGUAUGAUAGAGGAAAGCAGAAUUUCUAGUGUAGAGGUGAAAUUCGUAGAUAUUAGAAAGAAUACCGAUUGCGAAGGCAGCUUUCUGG
rnacentral:rRNA from 1 species